rnacentral:rRNA from 1 species
GACGAACGCUGGCGGCGUGCUUAACACAUGCAAGUCGAACGGAAAGGCCCUGCUUGCAGGGUGCUCGAGUGGCGAACGGGUGAGUAACACGUGGGUGAUCUGCCCCUUACUUUGGGAUAAGCCUGGGAAACUGGGUCUAAUACUGGAUAGGACCAUGCUGUAGGUGGUGUGGUGGAAAGAUUAGUUUCGGUAAGGGAUGAGCUCGCGGCCUAUCAGCUUGUUGGUGGGGUAAUGGCCUACCAAGGCGUCGACGGGUAGCCGGCCUGAGAGGGUGGACGGCCACAUUGGGACUGAGAUACGGCCCAGACUCCUACGGGAGGCAGCAGUGGGGAAUAUUGCACAAUGGGCGCAAGCCUGAUGCAGCGACGCCGCGUAGGGGAUGACGGCCUUCGGGUUGUAAACUCCUUUCAGCCAUGACGAAGCCCUUGUGGUGACGGUAGUGGUAGAAGAAGCACCGGCUAACUACGUG